rnacentral:lncRNA from 1 species
CCUAUUCAGGUAAUGAACAAGCUAUAUGAAGGGUACUGCAAUGUCUUUGACUGAUUUACACAUUAUUAGAAGGGUAGACAAUUUCUUAAAAUUCUACCAACUUUUUUUUAUGUUGUAAUGUAGGAUGAAAAGAAGCAAUGGGUUAGGAGAUAGAAAAGUGUUGGCAGAUGGUCACGUGAUCCUUUGCUACCUAACACCCCCCAACAUAUCAGUCACGUGUCUCUCUUUGUAACAUUUGACACUUUGGGUCCUACUGAAACUGCCGAGAGGAAAAUCUCCUAGCCUUGAAAAUGUCUAUUACCACUUUAUUUUCUUCAAUAACAAAAGACAAAACGUUAAAUAAGUCAAAUUUUGCUUGCUUGACUAAACACAACCUAUGACUAGGUUCAACCAUUCCAAAC